rnacentral:rRNA from 1 species
UACGUAGGGUGCAAGCGUUAAUCGGAAUUACUGGGCGUAAAGCGUGCGCAGGCGGUUGUGUAAGUCCGGUGUGAAAUCCCCGGGCUUAACCUGGGAAUGGCAUUGGUGACUGCACGGCUAGAGUGUGUCAGAGGGGGGUAGAAUUCCACGUGUAGCAGUGAAAUGCGUAGAGAUGUGGAGGAAUACCGAUGGCGAAGGCAGCCCCCUGGGAUAACACUGACGCUCAUGCACGAAAGCGUGGGGAGCAAACAGG